rnacentral:rRNA from 1 species
GAUGAACGCUAGCGGCAGGCUUAAUACAUGCAAGUCGAGGGGCAGCAUGAUUGUAGCAAUACAAUUGAUGGCGACCGGCAAACGGGUGCGGAACACGUACACAACCUUCCAAUAAGUGGGGAAUAGCCCAGAGAAAUUUGGAUUAAUACCCCGUAACAUAACGAUGUGGCAUCACAUUGUUAUUAUAGAUUUUUCGCUUAUUGAUGGGUGUGCGGCUGAUUAGAUAGUUGGCGGGGUAACGGCCCACCAAGUCUACGAUCAGUAGCUGAUGUGAGAGCAUGAUCAGCCACACGGGCACGGAGACACGGGCCCGACUCCUACGGGAGGCAGCAGUAAGGAAUAUUGGACAAUGGACGCAAGUCUGAUCCAGCCAUGCCGCGUGAAGGAUUAAGGUCCUCUGGAUUGUAAACUUCUUUUAUAAGGGACGAAAAAAGGCUUAUCUAAGUCGUCUGACGGUACCUUAUGAAUAAGCACCGGCUAACUCCGUGCCAGCCGCCGCCGUAAUAC